CCCCAGACUCCUACGGGAGGCAGCAGUGGGGAAUAUUGCACAAUGGGGGAAACCCUGAUGCAGCGACGCCGCGUGAGCGAUGAAGUAUUUCGGUAUGUAAAGCUCUAUCAGCAGGGAAGAAGAUGACGGUACCUGACUAAGAAGCCCCGGCUAACUACGUGCCAGCAGCCGCGGUAAUACGUAGGGGGCAAGCGUUAUCCGGAUUUACUGGGUGUAAAGGGAGCGUAGACGGCAGCGCAAGUCUGGAGUGAACUGCCGGGGCCCAACCCCGGAACUGCUUUGGAAACUGUGCAGCUGGAGUGCAGGAGAGGUAAGCGGAAUUCCUAGUGUAGCGGUGAAAUGCGUAGAUAUUAGGAGGAACACCAGUGGCGAAGGCGGCUUACUGGACUGUAACUGACGUUGAGGCUCGAAAGCGUGGGGAGCAAACAGGAUUAGAUACGCUCGUAAG
rnacentral:rRNA from 1 species